GUGUCAGCUGCCGCGGUAAUACGAAGGGGGCUAGCGUUGCUCGGAAUGACUGGGCGUAAAGGGCGCGCAGGCGGCUUAUCCAGUCAGAUGUGAAAUUCCUGGGCUUAACCUGGGGGCUGCAUUUGAUACGUAUGAGCUAGAGUGUGAAAGAGGGUUGUGGAACUCCAAGUGUAGAGGUGAAAUUCGUAGAUAUUUGGAAGAACACCGGUGGCGAAGGCGGCCACCUGGUUCACAACUGACGCUGAGGCGCGAAAGCGUGGGGAGCAAACAGGAUUAGAUACCCUGGUAGUCCACGCUGUAAACGAUGUAUGCUAGAUGUUAGGCAACUUAGUUGUUUAGUGUCGAAGUUAACGCGAUAAGCAUACCGCCUGGGGAGUACGGCCGCAAGGUUGAAACUCAAAUGAAUUGACGG
rnacentral:rRNA from 1 species